rnacentral:rRNA from 1 species
CUCAACUGUCGUAGGCUAUGGAAACUGUCGAACUAGAGUGCAGAAGAGGGCGAUGGAACUCCAUGUGUAGCGGUAAAAUGCGUAGAUAUAUGGAAGAACACCAGUGGCGAAGGCGGUCGCCUGGUCUGUAACUGACGCUGAAGCACGAAAGCGUGGGGAGCAAAUAGGAUUAGAUACCCUAGUAGUCCACGCCGUAAACGAUGAGAACUAAGUGUUGGGGGAAUAACUCAGUGCUGCAGUUAACGCAAUAAGUUCUCCGCCUGGGGAGUAUGCACGCAAGUGUGAAACUCAAAGGAAUUGACGGGGGCCCGCACAAGCGGUGGAGUAUGUGGUUUAAUUCGAAGCAACGCGAAGAACCUUACCAGGCCUUGACAUCCCCGGCGAAGACAUGGAGACAUGUCGGAGGUUAACCGGGAGACAGGUGGUGCAUGGUUGUCGUCAGCUCGUGUCGUGAGAUGUUGGGUUAAGUCCCGCAACGAGCGCAACCCUUGUGAUAUGUUACUAACAGUAAGAUGAGGACUCAUAUCAGACUGCCGGUGACAAACCGGAGGAAGGUGGGGAUGACGUCAAAUCAUCAUGCCCCUUAUGGCCUGGGCUACACACGUACUACAAUGGCGGCUACAAAGAGCGGCGAACCCGCGAGGGGGAGCGAAUCUCAUAAAGGUCGUCUCAGUUCGGAUUGAAGUCUGCAACCCGACUUCAUGAAGUUGGAAUCGCUAGUAAUCGCGAAUCANCAUGUCGCGGUGAAUACGUUCUCGGGCCUUGUACACACCGCCCGUCAAACCCAUGGGAGUUGGUAAUACCCGAAGCCGGUGGCA